rnacentral:piRNA from 1 species
UUAUGUCUUGUUAUUCUUUAG